GGAGGGGUGGCCGAGCGGUCUAUGGCGGCGGUCUUGAAAACCGCUAUCCCGCAAGGGAUCGUGGGUUCGAAUCCCACCCCCUCCGCCA
rnacentral:tRNA from 1 species